GAUGAACGCUGGCGGCGUGCCUAAUACAUGCAAGUCGAGCGAACAGAUGAGGAGCUUGCUCCUCGGACGUUACCGGCGGACGGGUGAGUAACACGUGGAUAACCUACUUAUAAGACUGGGCUAACUUCGGGAAACCGGAGCUAAUACCGGAUAAUAUAUUGAACCGCAUGGUUCAAUAGUGAAAGACGGGUUUGCUUUCAAUUAUAGAUGGAUCCGCGCCGCAUUAGCUAGUUGGUAAGGUAACGGCUUACCAAGGCAACGAUGCGUAGCCGACCUGAGAGGGUGAUCGGACACAUUGGAACUGAGACACGGUCCAGACUCCUACGGGAGGCAGCAGUAGGGAAUAUUCCGCAAUGGGCGAAAGCCUGACGGAGCAACGCCGCGUGAAUGAUGAAGGUCUUCGGAUCGUAAAACUCUGUUAUUAGGGAAGAACAAAUGUGUAAGUAACUAUGCGCGUCUUGACGGUACCGAAUGAGAAAGCCACGGCUAACUACGUG
rnacentral:rRNA from 1 species